AGAGUUUGAUCAUGGCUCAGAUUGAACGCUGGCGGCAGGCCUAACACAUGCAAGUCGAACGGUAACAGGAAGAAGCUUGCUUCUUUGCUGACGAGUGGCGGACGGGUGAGUAAUGUCUGGGAAACUGCCUGAUGGAGGGGGAUAACUACUGGAAACGGUAGCUAAUACCGCAUAACGUCGCAAGACCAAAGAGGGGGACCUUCGGGCCUCUUGCCAUCGGAUGUGCCCAGAUGGGAUUAGCUUGUUGGUGGGGUAACGGCUCACCAAGGCGACGAUCCCUAGCUGGUCUGAGAGGAUGACCAGCCACACUGGAACUGAGACACGGUCCAGACUCCUACGGGAGGCAGCAGUGGGGAAUAUUGCACAAUGGGCGCAAGCCUGAUGCAGCCAUGCCGCGUGUAUGAAGAAGGCCUUCGGGUUGUAAAGUACUUUCAGCGGGGAGGAAGGGAGUAAAGUUAAUACCUUUGCUCAUUGACGUUACCCGCAGAAGAAGCACCGGCUAACUCCGUGCCAGCAGCCGCGGUAAUACGGAGGGUGCAAGCGUUAAUCGGAAUUACUGGGCGUAAAGCGCACGCAGGCGGUUUGUUAAGUCAGAUGUGAAAUCCCCGGGCUCAACCUGGGAACUGCAUCUGAUACUGGCAAGCUUGAGUCUCGUAGAGGGGGGUAGAAUUCCAGGUGUAGCGGUGAAAUGCGUAGAGAUCUGGAGGAAUACCGGUGGCGAAGGCGGCCCCCUGGACGAAGACUGACGCUCAGGUGCGAAAGCGUGGGGAGCAAACAGGAUUAGAUACCCUGGUAGUCCACGCCGUAAACGAUGUCGACUUGGAGGUUGUGCCCUUGAGGCGUGGCUUCCGGAGCUAACGCGUUAAGUCGACCGCCUGGGGAGUACGGCCGCAAGGUUAAAACUCAAAUGAAUUGACGGGGGCCCGCACAAGCGGUGGAGCAUGUGGUUUAAUUCGAUGCAACGCGAAGAACCUUACCUGGUCUUGACAUCCACAGAACCUUGUAGAGAUACGAGGGUGCCUUCGGGAACUGUGAGACAGGUGCUGCAUGGCUGUCGUCAGCUCGUGUUGUGAAAUGUUGGGUUAAGUCCCGCAACGAGCGCAACCCUUAUCCUUUGUUGCCAGCGGUCCGGCCGGGAACUCAAAGGAGACUGCCAGUGAUAAACUGGAGGAAGGUGGGGAUGACGUCAAGUCAUCAUGGCCCUUACGACCAGGGCUACACACGUGCUACAAUGGCGCAUACAAAGAGAAGCGACCUCGCGAGAGCAAGCGGACCUCAUAAAGUGCGUCGUAGUCCGGAUUGGAGUCUGCAACUCGACUCCAUGAAGUCGGAAUCGCUAGUAAUCGUGGAUCAGAAUGCCACGGUGAAUACGUUCCCGGGCCUUGUACACACCGCCCGUCACACCAUGGGAGUGGGUUGCAAAAGAAGUAGGUAGCUUAACCUUCGGGAGGGCGCUUACCACUUUGUGAUUCAUGACUGGGGUGAAGUCGUAACAAGGUAACCGUAGGGGAACCUGCGGUUG
rnacentral:rRNA from 1 species